rnacentral:lncRNA from 1 species
AUGUUGUUUCUACGAUUGACUCCCACCUUGCCAAACACAUUUAUUAAUCUUGCUUCACCAAUAGUGGAUGCACCCUAUCAUAUUUUCUUCCUGGCAACCAUAAUUGGUCUGAUACCAACUGGUUAUGUCACCGUCAAGGUAUGUGUCUUUCACUUCUAUGAAAAUUUUGGGUUAAAUUAUGAAGUUCAAUUGUGGUCUCAGAAUAUCACAAGGAAUUAUCAGAACUCUACUAAGAUCCUGAAGGAUUCUAUGCUCAAAUGACACAAAAUAAAAAUCACUAUGCAAAAACAGAUAUGAUUGUUAUUUUUUGCAUAGAGGAAGAUCAUUAUACCUUCAUCUCUGUCAUCUCAAUCCGCACUGUUUACUCAUGCAGGAAAAAAUAAAAUCGUCUUUAGCAAUAUUGUUAGUUUUCUAAUUUCAGAUGAGAAAGCGUCAAUUUUGGAGAGUGGUUUUAAUUUUGGUUAAUUUCACAAAGUGGUUGGAGCUUGAACCACUUGCCACCAACAUGUUAAGGCUUUGAGAUAGAGUUAGGCCUAAUCUAUGAAGGACAAUUAUAAUGGUGAUUUAUCUGAGUUCUCUUGCAUUCAUAAUGUACUCAAGUGUCACUAGUUAUGCCUAUGUAUCUCUGACUCUGUUUUUUCCCUUAGGCUAGAUUAGCUUUUGGAGAGUUG